rnacentral:rRNA from 1 species
AUGAAGUAUUGUUCCUACUUGAGGCAAGCGCACUUCAAUGGCAAGCCUCUAAUCGAAAUUUCAGUAAAGUCUCCGGUGCUACAUUUAUCCGAUAGUGACUGGAAUAAUCUUGUUACACAUUGGUCUCGACUGCAGCGUAAGAAGAACAUUCAUUCUCAAGGGACCACAGAAUCUCGCAACUAUACGGCACACUGCAUUGCUCUUAGUACAUGCAAUGCUUAUGAAGAAGAUUAUGUGCUGAAAUUCUUGAGUUAUCCUUCCCUUGACAUGGAGAAGGGCAUUAUAAAGCCGGUGUUAACUGUUAAUGUGAUAUGCCUGAUGGCAUGCACAAAUCUGCUGAAGGCUGUGAGACGAACCCAAUAUAUAUUGCAGCAAAGAAGGCAAAACAUCUUGAAGAUAGCGAGACAACCCCAAAGUCUUGUCUUGAUGCAGUGUUCAAGUUACUUGAGACUAGCAGUCAGACAAGCUCACAGAAUUCAUUGUCUGAAUCAGUUUGACUUCUUUAGUCCCAAGUUCUAG